GCAAAAGCUUAAUCCACUUAGAUUACACAGUGAGGGAUCAGGUGAGAUUGUAGUCAAGGGCUAACUUAUUAAGAAUAAAAAAUAUGAUAGGAGAGAUUGACACUUUACAAUUUAUUAUCUUAUGAUAAAAUACAGAGUUGGCAAACAUUGUUGUCAUUUAUAAAUUUUUUCAUUAAGUACAAACAUACUAACAUUCGCAAAGUAUAAAAUAAACAAUAGUUGGCAAACUGAGGGUAAAAAAUAAUAUGAAAAUAAUGAAGCUAAAAAUAUGUAAAUCAUUAUUUUCAGCCUACCACAAAACCAGGCGUCCCUCUUUAAGGGGAAGGGGAUAUGGAGUGCCUGCCUUCAGAACCGGUGGUAGAAUCUGUACAAAUUGUCAACUGAUGUAUCAAAAGUGCUUCUAAACUGAGCCUACUUGAAAUAAAUGAAUUUUGAAUUUUUUUGAGCUUAAUCCCAACAUGUUGCUUCAAUGCUGGUUGGUGAGCUAUGAUGAUUAUGUUAAAUUAAUUAACAACUAUUAUCAGUUGAUAAUGAUAAUGACAGGGACAAACAGCAUAACAUGCGCUCUGAGGCAGGCAGGACCUCAUUGUCGAACUAAGCCAUCCAACAUAGCCGAGAGCAUAGUCUAACAACUGGAUUAAGGAAGCAGGAAAAAAAAUUUUAACACAUAAAAGUUGAAUUGUAUUUGAGUUAUUCAUUAUCAUGAAACCAUUGAAGACUCAGUAGCAUCACAGUUAUGUGGCCAAAUCAAUUCUGAGAGGACACAGGUGCAACCGUGUAUCCAGUCACUCGGAAUACUGUCAACAAUCCAUACCCUCCCACUAGACAAUAGUUUGAUAAUAUUAUUGUCCACUAGAAGGGUAUGAACUCCUAACAGUAUUUUUAACAUCAUGACAGUCAUAUUAUAAAAAUACAUGUCAAAUAUACUUUUAAAGAAAAAUAAAAAUGCUGAUGAAUUUAUAAUCAUCCAUUUGAAUUUAUGUAAAAAAUAAGAAUGUUCAAAAUUGGUUCAGCAGAUCCAGAAACUACCCCUCAGUUUACCACCAACUUUAUCUCUUCAUAAUGUUAGUAUAGACAAUGAAUGAUAAAAGUUUUAUGCAACAUAGUAAAAAAAAUCCUUUACCUUAUUAGCAAGAAGCUAGAUAAUUAUUAUAAGUUUUCAAAAGUUGGACUCAAAACUUCAAAAUGUCAAUCAAGCAAUAUAUAAAUGACAGCUGAUAAGGCUUAUCACAUAAUUGUCAUGUAUGAACAUUAUUGUCUAUACAUAAUUGCUUAUCAAUAGCUUCUAAUUAACAAAACAACAAUACAGAUAAAAACAAUAACAUAUCAAUAAUAUAAGAUUACUCCCAAAUAUAAGAAUAUAUAAUAUACUAAAAUUUUCAAGUAGAUUUGAAAUUAUAAUCAUUAAAGUGGAGAUAUUUUCGUUUGUAUGAAGGUAAUGGUACUAAUAUGCUCUUUCACCUGGAAAGUAAACUCGUUCAAGUAUGAAAAAAUACAAAAAUAGACAACGACCCUACGUCCCCCGACGACCUUACCGUCUAGGUGAGCGUUUAAUCGAAUGCAAUCAAUGAUAAAAUUGCAAUCGCUUCAACGGGUUUACACGGCCUUGCGAAAUAACAUUUUACAACUUAUUUGUAUGUAAAAUAUAGUGUAAAUAUACGUUCAGUGCAAGCAACUAGGGUGCAGAUUUCUCAACGUAGCUCACAGCUGUCAAGCAGCGGUUUUACCAUAAACUAAAAACCAUAGACUAUAGAAUGGAAUGGAACAAGAAUACUGAAUUGAUGGCGACCUUUCGAGACAGCCUUGACACUCGCUUCGUGAGCUGGGUAUAAUAAAGCAGAGACCGGGCACAGUCGGGCUAAAAAAUGCAUAUGUAAUAUAGCUAUUAUAAACAUAAUAGAUAGCUAUAUUACAUAUGCUUUGU